GGGAGCUUAAGACCAAAAACAGAGUAAAGAAACACAAUGAAAAUGGAAGCGAGCGAGUUAGUUAUAUGAUACAUUUUCAAACCCUAUUGAAGAAUGAUAGAAGACUGCCUUGUUUAGCGUCCUUGCUUCCUCCCAUUUUGUUCCCUGUUUUGCCUCCUGGUUUGGAUGGAGCUGUCUUUCCUAAAGCAGACUUCUUAACUGCAGCUGCCCUGUCAACACUAUCUGUAAUUGCAUUAGUUUCAGCUUUCUUCAUUGCCCUAUUGUCAGCUUUCUUCAUUGCGCUAUUGUCAGCUUUCUUUGUUUCUGUCUCUUCCCCCUCCCAUACUACCUCAGUUACUUCUCUACCACGCUCAUCAAUGCAGGUCUUCAAUACUUUUCUCCUUUUGGGUGAAUUUGGAGCAGCAUUAGCAACUAUAUCUGCUUUAACAUCAUCGCCAUCAAUACAGUUCUGGAUAUUCUCUUUAGAGGAGUCCUUAGAGUUCAUACUCUUGCG
rnacentral:misc_RNA from 1 species